GAUGAACGCUGGCGGCGUGCCUAAUACAUGCAAGUCGAGCGAACAGACGAGGAGCUUGCUCCUCUGACGUUAGCGGCGGACGGGUGAGUAACACGUGGAUAACCUCCCUAUAUGACUGGGAUAACUUCGGGACACCGGAGCUAAUACCGGAUAAUAUAUUGAACCGCAUGGUUCAAUAGUGAAAGACGGUUUUGCUGUCACUUAUAGAUGGUUCCGCGCCGCAUUAGCUAGUUGGUAAGGUAACGGCUUACCAAGGCAACGAUGCGUAGCCGACCUGAGAGAGGGAUAGCCCACACUGGAACUGAGACACGGUCCAGACUCCUACGGGAGGCAGCAGUAGGGAAUCUGCCGCAAUGGUCGAGAGCUUGACGGAGCAACGGCGCGUGAGUGAUGAAGGUCCUGGGAGCGGAAAACUCUGUUAUGAGGGAAGAACAAAUGUGUAAGUAACUAUGCACGUCUUGACGGUACCGAGUCAGAAAGCAACGGCUAACUACGUG
rnacentral:rRNA from 1 species